rnacentral:rRNA from 1 species
UGCGAGUCGAGAGGGUUCGGCCCUCGGCAGACGGCUCAGUAACACGUGGAUAAUCUGCCCUUAGGUGGAGGAUAACCUCGGGAAACUGAGAAUAAUACUCCAUAGAUCUAGGAUGCUGGAAUGCACUUAGAUUGAAAGUUCCGGCGCCUAAGGAUGAGUCUGCGGACUAUCAGGUAGUAGUCAGGGUAAAGACCUGACUAGCCUACGACGGAUACGGGUUGUGAGAGCAAUAACCCAGAGACGAUAUCUGAGACACGAUAUCGGGCCCUACGGGGCGCAGCAGGCGCGAAACCUUCACAAUGUGCGAAAGCACGAUGAGGGGAUCCCAAGUGCUUGCUCGUAAGAGUAAGCUGUUUUUAUGUCUAAAACGCAUAGAGAGUAAGGGCUGGGUAAGACGGGUGCCAGCCGCCGCGGUAAUACCUGCAGCUCAAGUGGCGACCGCUAUUAUUGGGCCUAAAACGUUCGUAGCCGGUUUGGUAAAUGCCUGGGUAAAUCGUGUAGCUUAACUAUACGAAUUCCGGGUAGACUGCCAAACUUGAGACCGGGAGAAGCUAGAGGUACUCCUUGGGUAGAGGCGAAAUUCUGUAAUCCUAGGGGGACCACCAGUGGCGAAGGCGUCUAGCUAGAACGGGUUUGACGGUGAGGAACGAAGCCCUGGGGCGCAAACCGGAUUAGAUACCCGGGUAGUCCAGGGUGUAAACGCUGCUUGCUUGAUGUUAGUUGGGCUCCGAGCCCAAUUAGUGUC